AGGGCCAAAGAGGAGGUCAGGAAAUGCUUCAUAGAAGGACCCCGAGGGAGGAGGUGAGUCGUGCAGGCAGGCCUGGGUGUGGCUAUGUGAGACUGUGAGUGUGAGUGUGUGUGACUUUGGUUCCCAUGAGUGUGUAUGAAUGUGUGUGGUGUGUGGGGGAGGUAGUGGCCAGGGCAGGGAGAGUCACGGGGCCAUUUAGCAAAUAUUUAUCGAGCACCUCCUCUGUGCCAGGCGCUGUGCAAGGUGCUGAGGUGAGUAAGCCCCAGCACUUGCCCAGAGGUGCUCACAGCCCGGCGAGAGAGAGAGAUGUGUAAACAGACAACAGCAGAGAGAGAGAGCAGAUUGAAACCAGACUCCUCAGAAAUGCAACCCCUUCACCCACUUCCCCCAGGAGAAGCCAGACUUCCCCAGAAUUGGUGGGACAGGUGGGGCUGUGGGAUAAGCCAGGAACUGUCCCAGGGGGCCAACCCCAGCCCCUCCUCAGGCACACCCAAACACGACGGGAGGGGUGACCUCCCUCUGACCUGCUCAGCGACACACCCAAUCCCACAGAAGCAGAUAAGAGGUGACCAGCAGCUCCGGCAGGGCGGGAUAUAAACAGCCCGGCCCUGUGGCUUCCUCCCCACCCCCACUCCCCAGCCCAGGACACACCUGAGGGGAUGCAGACUCUGGUGGGCGAGAGACCGGGCCGUCUCCUGCUAGGAGGCCCCUGGGCUGGUGAGAGUCGGGGUAAGGGUGACUGGUGCCCGACAGAGAGGGCAGCACGGAGGCCAGCCCAGGGGCCCGUGCCAGGACUCUGCAGCAUCCUGAGGGGUGAGAGGGCAGAGAACUGUUGGGGAGAAAGGCGUCCCUCCCAGAGCUGCCGUCUUCCAGGCUGUCCCAGGCGCUGCCCUGCAGAGGCCACCUGCCCAGGUGGUCUCACUGAGCUGCAGCGUGGAGGCAGGCAUGCUGUGAGCUGGCC
rnacentral:lncRNA from 10 species